AGUGAUAGAUUUGGGCUUAACAUG
rnacentral:siRNA from 1 species